UUCUCUCUCUAGGUUAACAAUUUUUCUCCUCCCUUUCUCUAGAAUUCGCCCCUCACCCACCCAAAAUCCUAACUUCAUCAAAUUCACAAUUCAUCAUGGAAUCAUCAUGGUACAUGCUUUAAUAGGUUCCUAGUAGAGUUUUAACCAAGAAACUAGUUUAAUAAUCACUUCUCCUCCCUCCAAUUGCUCAACCGCCCCUCUUUCUCUCAUUUUCCAAGUUCAUAAUCUUUCCUCCAAUUCCAUGGAAAUCAUCAAGUAAACUUGUUUUUGGAAUACCCAUGAUGGAUAGCUACUAGGUUGUGGGUGAUUAUGGUAAUGACUUGUUUUGAUGCUUGAGGAGCUUAGGAAUCAUCAUUCAAGGUUAAUUACGGAAGCCCUCAUGGUUGAGCGUGAAGUUGGUUGAGGUUUGAAAUGCAAAAGUGAGACGAGCCUAUGUUAUUUUAAAGGAUUAAAGGAAUAUUGUUGAAUCAUCUAUUACGGCCCAAAUAUGGAAGGUAACCAUACUUUGUCUGUUAUUCUAGUCGAUCGUUGGGAACAUCCUCCAUGGUGGCUUUGUUAAAAUAAACAUGAAUGGUAGUUGUUUGAAUAACACAUCAAUUAUUGACUCUGGGUUGUCUCAUAAGAUGUUCCAAGGGUUGACGAUGUUUGUGACAUUUUGCUAGUGGAAAUUCUGGGUAUUCUAGUGUAUGAUACUGACUCCAUGGAUGAAGUGAAAUUGAUCAUGGAUAUAGACACCACAUAUUCCAUAGUUAUGUAUUGUGUUGGAUCAAAUUGGGAGAAGUUGUUUGAUUGUGAUUGAAUUUUCUCAUGUUUUUGCAAGGCAAACAACUGCAAUAACUUAUU
rnacentral:lncRNA from 1 species